GCCUCUGUAGCUCAGUUGGUUAGAGCGCUGCACCGGAAUCGCAGGGCCGUAGGUUCGAUUCAUGCCAGAGGGC
rnacentral:tRNA from 1 species